UGGUGACAAUGGCAAGGAGGUCACACCUGUUCCCAUGCCGAACACAGAAGUUAAGCUCCUUAGCGCCGAAGGUAGCAGACUAACGUUCUAAAGCAAAACAGUGAUUGAAAAUCACAUGUUUUACU
rnacentral:rRNA from 1 species